UUAAGCAGCCAGGAUUGGUAAAUCACCAGACAUGUGGGCCUUGGCGGUCCUUUGUUUUUUGCCAGCCAUCAGCGUGCUAUUGGGGGUGUCAGUUCAGCUUCGAAUCUGAUGAGAGCGUUGCAGAACCCCCACAGCUCUAUAGCAGUAGAGGAGAAAGUGAAAUGGUACAAAACAUCUGGUGCUGUCCAUCCCGACCUUCAGACUGUGGGUAUGGGCUGCUGCAGCGUCACCUCAGCAGCCCUGCGUGUGAGCACCUCCAGCAGCAGUGAGUUGGAUCCCUGCGGCUCCUUGCCGGCUGCCUGCGCUCCAGGCCCUACUGGUGGGACGUUGCCAUUUUGAACCAGCGAACUUUUGUUUGGAGCUUCUGGACAGUGGGCACUCUCUACGUUUUUGACUGACAUCUAUUCACUUCAAGGGUGAUUUUCCUGUUGGCAAGAGGCAGAAGAGACACACCAAGCAUCACCUUCAGGAACAAGCAAUUUAAGUACUAUAAUGAGAUGGGUCUUUUCAGAGUCUAUAAUUGGUGACAAGAAACAACUUUGUAAGCAGCCAAAGAUGCAACAGCACAGAAUAUGGGUCGAGUGUGGGCUUUGAUAUGAAACAUUCCCGAGAUCAAGUACAAGAAAGACUUCUCACUGAAGGCAUAUGGAAACAAGAAAAAAAUGGACUACUGAAAGAAAAAAGGAAAAAGAGAGGAAGAAAAAACUGCUAUAGAGGUCCAGUGAAAGGCUUGAGACACAGUCCUAUAGGCUGAAUCUUUUUCCUCAAAAAAAGAUUUUGAAGUUAUAACCCCUAAUAUUUCAGAAUGUCAUCUUAUUUAGAAAGUCACUGCAGAUGUAAUUAAUUAAGGUCAAAUUGGAGUAGGGCAGACCCCUAAUCCAAUAUAAAUGAUGACUUUUAAAUGUGAACAUGGACACAAAGAAAGAAAACCAAGUAACAAUGAAGGCAGAGAUUGGAGUUCUGCAGCUCCAAGCCAUGGAGCACUAAAGAUUGUCAACAAACCACAGAAGCUAUUCAAAGGUUUCAGAGAGUAUGGUCCUGCUGACAUAUUGAUUGCAAACUUAUAACCUCCAAAACUAUGAGAUAAUACAUUUCUGUUAUUUAAAAUCAUCCUAUUCAUGGUACUUUGUCAUAGACAGGAACUGAGAGGAAGACAUAUAAACUACACUAAAAAAAUGAACAUUUAUGCAUGGGAAGUCAAUAACUGCCAAAGGGGAAUCAAAUAGUAUUCCAAAGUUUUGAACUCAGGAGAGCAGAGAGUGUAAAUUUUGGAAAUGAGAAUUUUUUUAAAUUGAGUGAAAAAUAGAAAUAAUGCAAAGAAAGGGAAAGAGUGUGGACAAUCGCAAUAGAACACAUUAUAGAAAUAGAAUAACUAAUAAAACACUGUUAUGCAGACUGAGAAGUGAUCAUAGAAGUUUGGAACUUCAGUUAAAAAGUUUUAUAGUCAGAUUGAUAAAAACUAGUAAAUUGAAUGCUUUCAGAUUCGAGGAGCUUUAUGAAUAAUAUUACUAAUGCUUGCAGUAAUGCUGUAAAAUGUGUUGACCAUGAAUAAUUCUACCUUAUCCAUCCCCACUUCCAAAGAAGCUAUAAAGUGGGUGAUUAUCAGGGACAUUUCUUAGCCCUUCUUACAAGUAGAAAAUACCUUUUGUGGUAUUGACCUAUUAUCACUGGGAGAAUGUGAGCAGAAAAAUAUGCACAAUUUAUAGGUUGAGCAUUGAAAAAACAGGGAUAAACUCUCCUAAACUUCCCUCCUGAUUUCUGUCUAAAUGCAGAUGGACUUCAAGCUCUAGAGUUGGGUUUAACAAAUUGCCCCAAGCACCAAAUGUGCCCUAUUGCCUAUUUUGUAAAGAAUCCUAUUAAAAUGCAGCCAUAUCCAUUUAUUUACUUAUUGACUGUUGCUGAUUUGUGCUACAAGAGCAGAGUUGAGUUGCAGCACUAUCUCAUCUUUAUUAAGCCAUUCAUUUACAUAUUUAAAAAAUUUACAUGAGAAAGUUAGAUAAUUUAGCCCAAGAUUACAUUAGCAAGAGAAAAGGGCAGGGUUGGAAUGCACUUCUGUGUGGUUCUAAAAUCUUCCCUAUUUCUCUAAGUUCAGAGUGAUCUUGAGUUCAUGGUAGCUUUUAUCCUUUUUUUGGCAUUUUUAUGUAUUUGUCUAAUAGAUCUAUUAAAAUACAAUUUAUAGAUCAGCAGAUUUAUCCUUUUAAACUGUAAGAUUCUAUACUUUUGGGUGUAUUUACAGAGUUGUACAAUCAUCGCCACUGAUGAAAUUAAGGGCAAUUUCAGCAGUUCAAAACAUAUCUAUGAACAGUGGCUCCCUAUUCCUUACUCUUCCUAUCAUCUUGAAACUAUUAAAUUCUCAAGUCUAUUCAUAGUGAAGCAAUAAUAAAUUCAUCCUUCUAGACACUAUAGAAGUGGAAUAAGUCAACAUUGUGGAGUUUUGUGACUCAUUUAUUUAACUUGACAAAAUGUUUUCAAGGUUCUUCCAUGGUAUAACAUAUAUCAAUACCUCAUUCCUUUUUAUUGACAAUAAAUUUCUACCUAUAGAUAAGAUUCUAUUUCUCCAUUAAUCAUUUCAGUUGUUUCUAGUUUUUACUUAAGAAUAAUGUUAUGAACACUUGUGUAAACAGGUUUGAGUUCUUUUGGUUAUCACCUAGGAUUGGAAUUCUUUGAUCACAUGGUAAUUCUAUGUUUAACAUUGAAACAAUGACUAAGCUGUUUUCCAAAAUGACUGCACCAUUUUAUAAUCCCACUAGCAAUGUUGUAAAGAUUGUACU